UGCAGUCGAACGAUGAAGCCCUUCGGGGUGGAUUAGUGGCGAACGGGUGAGUAACACGUGGGCAAUCUGCCCUUCACUCUGGGACAAGCCCUGGAAACGGGGUCUAAUACCGGAUAACACUCUGUCCCGCAUGGGACGGGGUUGAAAGCUCCGGCGGUGAAGGAUGAGCCCGCGGCCUAUCAGCUUGUUGGUGGGGUAAUGGCCUACCAAGGCGACGACGGGUAGCCGGCCUGAGAGGGCGACCGGCCACACUGGGACUGAGACACGGCCCAGACUCCUACGGGAGGCAGCAGUGGGGAAUAUUGCACAAUGGGCGAAAGCCUGAUGCAGCGACGCCGCGUGAGGGAUGACGGCCUUCGGGUUGUAAACCUCUUUCAGCAGGGAAGAAGCGAAAGUGACGGUACCUGCAGAAGAAGCGCCGGCUAACUACGUGCCAGCAGCCGCGGUAAUACGUAGGGCGCAAGCGUUGUCCGGAAUUAUUGGGCGUAAAGAGCUCGUAGGCGGCUUGUCACGUCGGAUGUGAAAGCCCGGGGCUUAACCCCGGGUCUGCAUUCGAUACGGGCUAGCUAGAGUGUGGUAGGGGAGAUCGGAAUUCCUGGUGUAGCGGUGAAAUGCGCAGAUAUCAGGAGGAACACCGGUGGCGAAGGCGGAUCUCUGGGCCAUUACUGACGCUGAGGAGCGAAAG
rnacentral:rRNA from 1 species